UUUAUAAGUGAAUUCUCCAGGAAAUACGACCUUCAGAGAAUCCUCGUAAGUGAAGUCAGGCCCCCAGUGAGCGCCUUCAACCCCGAGAGCAGCUCUGCGCGCGCGCGUCUCUCCUGACCACACAGGCAAGUGUCCUCUCUGUGGCCGGAUCAGAGGUGUCAGCAAAUGAGGCCUGGAGCAGCUUCAGGAAGGAAGGAAAUCAGAGAAGCUGGGAAGGCAGCCUUUCCUCCACUGCUCCGGGUCACAGAGCUGACCCCGGAUAGGAAGGAGGUCAGCACUGGCGGCCAGGCGAUUCCUCAAGGAAAACCCCAAAGGAUGAGCAGGGAAGGAGGAAGGAAGCAUUCUCAGCCAAGGGGAUGGAGUAGGGCGCUGAGCUUCUGCCAACCAUGGAAAGGCCAGCCCUUUGGUUCUCACAUCUGAAGAAAACACCACGAAGGUCCCCUGAAAACUGUCCCAUCGGGCUUCCAUCUCACAUCCCGUGAGCUGACGUCUCCCUCUCUUCCUAGCUGUAAUCUCUUUUUAAAAAGAAAUUGCCCAGACCCCUUUGCAUCGAUAUUCUCUUUUGAACAAAACUGUGUAAAUGGAGGUCCCAUGAUUAAUGUUUUGAGACCUACAACAUUUUAAGACAUUUAUGGGGAAAAACUUCUUUCCAAAUGACUUAACGUAGGAGUCCCUUAAGUAUGCUCUUAGACUGACGUUUCUUAAAUCGUGUGUGAACCUCGUUUAUGAGUGGAAAUUUAAUAACCACUGACUCAUAGCUAGAUAAAAGGGACAUGUCUGAGCUGGGCAGCUUAAUGACACAUUCAAACCAGGGGUUCCACGACGGUGCAGAUGUCACACGCACAGAAUCUGUCCGAUAGCGGUUGCACAAGUCAAGAUUAAAGUGAAAGUCUGAACUGAAGCUUGAGGGUGUGGCUGCGGAUAGCAGCGAGGUGCACAAGUGAAAACAGGCAACCAGAGAGAUGUUUCAGGAGAGGCUCUGAGAACAUCUUCCCACAGCGCUCCAAGCAAGGAGGACACCUGUUACCGAGAUCUGGGACACAGGCAUCGAGUUUCUUUCUUUAUCUAUUGGUUCAAGGAAAAGCCAUAGGCUCCGCAGUUAAGUGGUAUAACCAGCAGUCUGACUCCAUCUGCCUUUUCUGAGAACCUGCUGCCAUGGACUCCGGCAUGCUGCCUGCCCGAGAGUCUCACCCCCUCAGCCUGUUUACAGCACUGCGGCUGGGAAAAAGCAAACCUCACACUUCCCUGUGCCUGGAGUUCUUCCACCCACCACUCGCAGUAAAACUCCUCCUCGGGGCAGACAAACCUUGUUAAGAUCUAGUCCCCAACAUGGGUUUGGCUUCAUUCCCUGCCACCCUCCAUACGCCCCAAUCUCUGCCAAAUCCAGUUCCAUGCCAGCCGCUCUCUGCAGGGCCACGAGGAGCUGCACACCGGCUUGCCCCUCUGCCCAAGUGACAACACUAUGAACAGGGCAGUGACACCCAGCUUCACUGCAGACCAAGAAUCUGAUGCAGCCUUACAGCCGCAGCCCUGGCCUGCAACUGGAGGCUGCUUUUCAGCUCCGUUAUCCUCUGUAUGCAUGGCUGCUACCCUUGCUUGGACACAGAUAAUGAGUGUUUAAUUUGGGGAUUCCAAUUUUUAGAUUGUUUAAGCAAAGGUCUCAUACUAUACCUCCAAGCUAGCCAGGAACUUACUGGAUAGCCCAAGCUGGCCUCAAACUCAUGGCAAUUCUCCUGCCUCGGUCUCCCAAGUCUAGGAGUACAAGUAUGUGCCACCAUGCCCACCUGAAGUGCCUGGCAUUUUUCAUUCACACUACAAGGAGAAACAACAGCAAGGCAACAGAUAACCCCUGACUAACACUCCACUUGCAAAUAAUUCAUUUUAAUUUUUAAGCCUGUCAAGUCAUAAUAUGAGACAACUAACCGGGUUUGAAUUUCAUUUAUGGACUCUAAGAAUAAACGUU
rnacentral:lncRNA from 1 species